UACGUAGGGACCAAGCGUUGUUCGGAUUUACUGGGCGUAAAGGGCGCGUAGGCGGCGUGGUAAGUCACCUGUGAAAUCUCUGAGCUUAACUCAGAACGGCCAAGUGAUACUGCUGUGCUAGAGUGCAGAAGGGGCAAUCGGAAUUCUUGGUGUAGCGGUGAAAUGCGUAGAUAUCAAGAGGAACACCUGAGGUGAAGACGGGUUGCUGGGCCGACACUGACGCUGAGUGCGCGAAAGCCAGGGGAGCAAACGGG
rnacentral:rRNA from 1 species